UUUGAUCCACUUUCAGGACUCCAAAUUUGAUGAAAUUUUUACCUAACAUUCUACACUCAUAGGGGAUUCCAAAGAGAUAACAUGCAUCAUCAUCGGAGGCCGUUUGACCCCCUAAAUAAUUCACCAAAGUUGGGACUUCGACAUAGUUUUUCCGUAAUGCCGGCAAAAUUUGUCGAAAUCCGAUUCUUCCUCUUUUAACCACCUCUACAACCCUUAUCUGAUCCCUCUAGACUACAUCCACCCUUUGUAUAGCCUAAUGUCAUCAAAAGACUAGAUAGGGAUGGAUAUUUACCUUUUUUUUUUGGAAAUCGAGGUCCUUGUGUAGAGGAGAAGG
rnacentral:lncRNA from 1 species